CCACCACACUGCUCCAGGGACUGCCAACAGGGACUGGCAUCACCUUGGAACAGCCAGCAGCCUGCCUCAAGGAAUAGGAACRCAGCCCCCUCCACCACAUAGCUGUGAAAGCAUACCUCUGAAGCAGGAAUUUUUGGAGAAGCAGUGCCACCAAGCAGUCAGGAGACAGAGAGCCAGCAGAAGGACAGCCUGGGACAAGAAAAAAGAGGAAAGAAGGGAAGGCUGGAGAGCCAGGUACCAUAAAAAAUUCUUGUAUUUAACUAAAAGGAAGAAAAAAGCAGGAGCACAGCACAUCCUCUGCUCAUCAAACCCACCACAACACCCUGGGCUGUGCUGGGACCCCAUCAACACCCUGACAGGAACCUCAUGGGAAAGGUGAGACAUAUCUGUAUGCAAACAGCACAAUAGUAAUGGCAUAUUCCCAAAACAAAAAAUGAAUCCACCAGAUGAUUGCUUGGAAGAUGAGAUAAGGAGUAAUUAAAACUGAAGUGUUGUGGGAGAGGAGGAAAUGGGACACCGUGUCAGGGAAACUGGGCUAAACCAGACAGACCAGUCCVGGCACCUUCCCUGAGCUUUAGCAGUCAGUGUGAUUGUGAGACAGUCUAGACUGAGGCAUGCCCGAUGACUGAAAUGAGAUCAUUUCAUGCAUUAUACAUUAAAAACACAAACUGACUCUUUUCAGGAGAAUGGAGUGUCCCUCAAUGCUGGAGUUAAAAAUAAAGGCACUAACUUGGAGAACACRGGACUGAAUGCAGCCAAAAAAAGUCCAGCGAACAGCACUUGCUGGUAGAUGUUGAUACCCAAGCUGACAAACAGCCAGCUGAUACAAAGAAGGCAUU